CAGCUACUUUUGCUUUACAGUCCUCCUGAGCACACCCUGCAGGGAUAUAUCCUUCCAGCUCAAGAAUUUCAAUAACCUUUAAAACGUUUUUUUUUUUGUUGUUGGAAAAGUUGGCUGACUAGAUUGAAGACGUUUUCUGUAGUCUGUUCAUCUUUUUAUAUCUGUGCCAGGUCCAGGGUCAUCCAGGAAACAGGGAAGUAUUCACUGGGCAUCUUGUGUGUGUCAGAAGCUGAGCCGGUAAGAUAAGCAUGUUGCAUUCUUGAUGUUUCAGGAUUUUGUUUGUUUGGUACCAGGGAUUGAACCCAGGGGUGCUCAACCACUGAGCCACAUCCCCAGCUCUUUUGUGUAUUUUAUUUAAAGACUGGGUCUCCCUGAAUUGCUUAGGGCCUUGCUAGUUGCUGAGGCUGGCUUUGAACUUGCGAUCCUCCUGCCUCAGCCUCCUGAGCGUCUGGGAUGACAGGGUGCACCACCAUGCCCGGCCCCUUAUUGUAUUUUAUUAUACAUGGCAGGGAGGUGACCACAGAACUCUUACAGAUAAUCAGCCACCAUGUUUAAUGGUAACUAGUGGAGGGGAGAGACAGAGGGUGCUGCUAUUAAGGGAACUUCCCACCUGAUCUGGGGGGGCAGGGCAUAGAUCAUGGAGGGAGACUGUGGGAGUGAAUCUUCAGGCAAGACCUAAAUGUUAGAAAUAUGCUCAAUAAGUGCUGGGGGAAGGAAUGGAUGAAAGAACAAAACAACAAUCCGGAGGGGGAACAGAUACAUGGUUCAGAUGGUGGUUUCAGAUUACGAGGAUCUAUUGUGUACAAAUAAGCUAAAUGAGCCAUCAUGAAGACUUGGGUAGAGCUGUGAUAUUGUCCCUUCACACAGACUCUCACCACUGAUCAAGAUGGGUGGGAUCCUGGUGUGGGUUAGGAGCACUUCAGAGUCAAACAGGCCCUCCUGUGGAUUUCCUAGUUACCACUUACGUUGAACUGCAUCCGAGUUUUCCUUUGGCUGAAUCUCAUGGUUCUGUGGGAGGGGAAAUCUGUAUCCCCGGGUAUGGGGGGUGACGUUUAGAACACCUGUGGCCAACAGAGGUGGAUGUUGGAGAGCUAGGCACUUUGUGUAGAGAUGCUUCAUGACCUUCGCUGGGGUCACAUCCCCUGAUAAACCCAUCAUUGAUUGAAAAUGUGGUGAGUCGAAAUGUGUUGAUGCACCUACGCCUCCCAACCAUCCUCGUUCAUCCACUGACAGUUCUGAGGUGUCUCACUGGGAGCUCAGUUCACAGAUGCUCCAGCAUCUGUGUGUCCUGCCGUAGAUUACUUGCUGAGGACAAGGUGAAACUGCACGUGUGCACGUGGAACUGUGGUUUCUACAGAAAAGCAGAUUGCUCUCACUCCAUCGUAAAGUUGGCAGAAUUGUACCUUGAAAUGUCCUAAGUCAGAGAAUGUCUGUGUUCCCACGCCCUGGGCUUCACCUGCUUCUGAUGGUCGCUGUCAUUCACUCAGGGCUUCAUGCAGUGAGAAACGAGCAGAAGCAACUGGAAAAUAAAUUUAAAAAUGCAACAAUGUGCUGCUAUGGUCCCCUGAUGGUCAGCCUUGUUGGAACAACUUGAGAAGAUGGGGAGAAGACGGGGGACACACUUAGGGGGAAGAAACAGAAGGUGUGACUCGGGAGUGCUGGUGGGGAAUUGUGGAAGAAGGGGUUGUACUUCUCCUUGCUCUGCCUCCAUUCUCCCAGCCUUCAAUGGGGAGGAUCCUGGUGUCUGCCUCACAGGGCUGGGGUGAUCAAUGCUCAAGAUGGUUCCCUUCCGUGGUCCAGUACUGGGCCCCAGAGUGGCAGCUUUGCCCUGGGCAUUGCAUGUUCCAUGUUGUAUUAAAGCUGAUUUGGUGGUUUUUACUAGUGACUCAGGGCCCCCACGGGAUGAGCCAAGGACAAAGCUUGUUGCAUAGAGCGUGGUAGAUGGAGGCUCACACUCCCAGGUGAUCCCGACCCUGUCCUGGGUCCUCAAAUAGGCCUGAGGCUAAGGGGCGUGUCUUCCUGGGGAGGAGAGAUGGUAUGGGGACCCAGGCUCUCUAGACUUCAAGGAGGGCUGAGGACGACACAGGCGGUGCCCCCGGCCCACCUGGAGGUGGUGCCCUGCUGGGAAGACUCUCCAAUCUGGCUGCUCCUGCUGGUGGUGCUGGGGACAGGUCCCAGACGCUCCUGUGGGCUGUAAUCCACUUCUUGGUGACUCUCCAAGUGGAGCCUGAGUUCCAGAGCUUUCCCUCUCCACUACCACAGUUGGCUCAGCUUGCAGUGAGACCCGAGAGGUGAUUUCAUCUUUCAUCUGCCCUCCUUCUGGGUGUCUGCAGACAACUGGCUGAGAACAGAUGUGAGGGGCCAGGGCAUGAGUCACAGGGUUUGGUCGGCCGAGCUGGAGAACAAAGGAGACAGGCUUGCGUGACACACACGAGAGUCAUCUGUGGGACAUUCAUGGGGACUUGACGCAGGUGCCUUGUGGCCUUCCCUAGCACCUGCUUCUGGCACAAUCUCCCGCCAGCUCUGAGUCAUAUGCUCUGUUUUCUCCCCAAGGGUUGCUUUCCCCAUCUGCCUUUGUCCCCCAAUCCCUCCUCUUCCCUGACAUCCCACUCGCCUUCCAAGAGAAGUGGGGAAUUCCACACCUGCACCGCCAUCUUCCAGCCUGGCUCUGAACCCACCCCUGUUACCCUGGUUCCUUGAUAUUUCUUCCCGUGUCCUGGGGACCUCCAGCCCCCAUUGUCUUCCACUGUGCCCACAUCUCCUUUUAUCCUCAGUAGGAUCAAAAGAAC
rnacentral:lncRNA from 1 species